AACGCACCUUGCACUCCUUGGUAUUCCGAGGAGCAUGCCUGUUUGAGUGUCAUUAAUAUAUCAACCUCUCAAGCUUUUUUGCUUGUCGAGUGCGUGGAUGUGGGGGUUUAUUUUGCUGGCCUCUUCUGAGUCAGCUCCCCUGAAAUGCAUUAGCAGAACAAUGUGUUGAUCGUUCAUUGGUGUGAUAAGUAUCUACGCUAUUGACGUGAAGCGGGUUCUGCUUAUAACAGUCCAUUGGCUUGGACAAAAUUUCUGUUAAUGUGACCUCAAAUCAGGUAGGACUACCCGCUGAACUUAAGCAUAUCAACGGAGG
rnacentral:rRNA from 1 species